UCCAUUCGGGAACACUCGUGCUGGGAUGCGGCGGGAUCCUCGUCGGAGCGCUGUGCCAGGGACAGCUCCCGGUUCUGCGCGAAUCCUGGGGCGCUCAGGUCACAGGAUAUACUGGGAUUGAGAGGGUUCCUGAAAUCCGACUCUCGAGGACACGGCCCGUGGGAGAAUUGAACUCACAACCUUGGUACUACCUGGGCUGUGCUCCGACUGACUGAGCCCUCUGCAUCUCAGCUAUUAAAUGCCAACCGACAGCCUGCAGAGAUGCCUUCAAAUCAAAGGUUCAGGUGGGAUGAAGUUUUGUUUGGACGAAGGUGGGAGUUUCCAGGGAGCCAGCUGGAAGUGCAGAAGGGAUGGAAAGCUUUCCCAGGUGCUGGACUUGCCUCUGUGGAUGUGUGCUGAGCUCUCACUACAGGGGACUGUGAGGCCUGACUGGCUGUGAGUUUGUGUUCUUCUCACAGGAGAAUCAGAAAUGAUCAUUAAUUAGACCACAGAAAUCUUUUCUGAAACCUUUCCCCUUUCCUGCCCUUUGCUGGUAAGUCUUUUCUUUCUGCCUUUAACUCUACAGCUGUUCCCUGAUGUCAU